GUGGCACAUGUGGUCAUGGAGCUGGAAGGGGAAGAUGAGAUUGUCUUGAAUGAACCAUGAAAAAAAAAUAAUCUAAAUGCAAGUGUCUGGUAUGCUGUAGCAGAGCAGGUGAGUGUGCUGUGAACCUGAAGGUGUGGUGAGUGCUGCUUCACCAGCUGCUCUGUAAGCCGUGCAGUGCGGUCACACAGACCUUGGCUUUCAUGGAUUAAUGCUGAAAUUUUCAGAAUAUUCUAGGGAAUUUGAACAACUACUCCCAAAGCACUCAUGAGAGAAUUGUCCAUGCUUUUCCUGCCAGAAUGAAUGGAAAAUAUUCUUCUUUUCUGUGUUCUGGUUUACACAGAAGUAAACUUCUUUAGAGCUGGUGAGUGUGAUGAUGAACCUUCCACGAAGCAUGAACUUCAGAUGAGCUCCUUGGGGGCACCAGGGAUAGAACUGAGCUGCUAUUACCAGGCAGACACUGGAUGCUGUAGUUGUGGUCACUGGAGCUGUGGGAUUUCUCCUUCAGCACCACACACUGUGUGGUUUCAAGUCCCUGCAGAGUCUGUUCGGGAGCAUCCAUUUUUCUGCAAGUGCAUGCUGUAAACUGACAAACUCCUGCUGAAGCUGAUGGCUGAGGAUUGCAAAACCUGCCCCUUUCUUGUGUGUUCUGCUCUUGGCUGAUCUGAGGGCCUGGAGAAGUUCAACAGUUCAGUGAAGCACACAGCAACCCCCUCCCCACAAGGGCAAUGCACUGCCCACAUGAAACUGUGAUUGUGAUUAAAACAGAAAAGUGGUAGCUGGAAAGAAUCUAAAUGCACAU